rnacentral:rRNA from 1 species
CGGGAGCUUGCACAGGUGCUGCAUGGCUGUCGUCAGCUCGUGUCGUGAGAUGUUCGGUUAAGUCCGCUAACGAGCGCAACCCUCGCUGUGUGUUAUAUGUGUCACACGGGACUGCCGGUCUUAAGCCGGAGGAAGGUGGGGGAAUGAUGGUCAAGUCAGCAUGGCCUUUAUAUCCUGGGCUACACACACGCUACAAUGGCCAACACAAUAGGUUGCUAAGCCGCGAGGUGGCGCCAAUCCAUAAAGUUGGUCUCAGUUCAGAUUGUAGGCUGCAACCCGCCUGCAUGAAGAUGGAGUUGCUAGUAACCGCAGGUCAGCUAUACUGCGGUGAAUACGUUCCCGGGCCUU